rnacentral:rRNA from 1 species
GUGGGGAAUAUUGGACAAUGGGCGAAAGCCUGAUCCAGCCAUGCCGCGUGUGUGAAGAAGGUCUUCGGAUUGUAAAGCACUUUAAGUUGGGAGGAAGGGCAGUAAGUUAAUACCUUGCUGUUUUGACGUUACCGACAGAAUAAGUACCGGCUAACUUCGUGCCAGCAGCCGCGGUAAUACGAAGGGUGCAAGCGUUAAUCGGAAUUACUGGGCGUAAAGCGCGCGUAGGUGGUUUUGUAAGUUGGAGGUGAAAUCCCCGGGCUCAACCUGGGAACUGCCUCCAAAACUGCAUGACUAGAGUACGGUAGAGGGUAGUGGAAUUUCCUGUGUAGCGGUGAAAUGCGUAGAUAUAGGAAGGAACACCAGUGGCGAAGGCGACUACCUGGACUGAUACUGACACUGAGGUGCGAAAGCGUGGGGAGCAAACAGGAUUAGAAACCCCAGUAGUCC